AGAGUUUGUCUGGCUCAGGACGAACGCUGGCGGCAGGCUUAACACAUGCAAGUCGAACGCUCUCUUCGGAGAGAGUGGCAGACGGGUGAGUAACGCGUGGGAAUCUACCUAGUACUAAGGAACAACAGUUAGAAAUGACUGCUAAUACCUUAUACGCCCUCCGGGGGAAAGAUUUAUCGGUAUUAGAUGAGCCCGCGUUUGAUUAGCUAGUUGGUGAGGUAAUGGCUCACCAAGGCGACGAUCAAUAGCUGGUCUGAGAGGAUGAUCAGCCACACUGGGACUGAGACACGGCCCAGACUCCUACGGGAGGCAGCAGUGGGGAAUAUUGGACAAUGGGCGCAAGCCUGAUCCAGCCAUGCCGCGUGUGUGAUGAAGGCCCUAGGGUUGUAAAGCACUUUCAACGGUGAAAGAUAAUGACGGUAACCGUANAAGAAGCUCCNGCUAACUUCGUGCCAGCAG
rnacentral:rRNA from 1 species